GGUUCGAUGGUGUAGUCGGUUAUCACAUCUGUCUCACAUAGUCGCUAUGCCAGAUGUAGAGCACCGAAGGUCUACAGUUCGAGUCUGGAUCGAACCA